CGAGUUGACACAAAUACAGGAUUUCGGAACGUCUCUAGUUUUUAUAUCGAAAGUCACGAUAAACACAAACUGAAAGUAAAUAGUUGUUUGGAAGACGCAGUUUUCAGUUAGUCAUCAUAAACAUGCUGUAAAGUUCAGUAUGGCAUAUAUUUCAGGCUAAAGACGAUCACAUUAAUUUAAAAAGCAUUUUGAAAGCAAACGAUGGAAUUAUUUCAGGUUUGUGGAACGAGUAGAUUAUCACAAAAAUUUAUUCUUGACGACCUCGGACCUGUUUACAUUCGCUUUUUUUGGUAAACUGUCAUUUAUUUUUAAAC
rnacentral:lncRNA from 1 species